GGGGAAUUUUGGACAAUGGGCGCAAGCCUGAUCCAGCCAUGCCGCGUGCGGGAAGAAGGCCUUCGGGUUGUAAACCGCUUUUGUCAGGGAAGAAACGCUCCGAGCUAAUACCUCGGAGUAAUGACGGUACCUGAAGAAUAAGCACCGGCUAACUACGUGCCCGCAGCCGCGGUAAUACGUAGGGUGCAAGCGUUAAUCGGAAUUACUGGGCGUAAAGCGUGCGCAGGCGGUGAUGUAAGACAGAUGUGAAAUCCCCGGGCUCAACCUGGGAACUGCAUUUGUGACUGCAGCGCUGGAGUGCGGCAGAGGGGGAUGGAAUUCCGCGUGUAGCAGUGAAAUGCGUAGAUAUGCGGAGGAACACCGAUGGCGAAGGCAAUCCCCUGGGCCUGCACUGACGCUCAUGCACGAAAGCGUGGGGAGCAAAC
rnacentral:rRNA from 1 species